rnacentral:rRNA from 1 species
CCUACGGGAGGCAGCAGUAGGGAAUAUUGCUCAAUGGGGGAAACCCUGAAGCAGCAACGCCGCGUGGAGGAUGAAGGUUUUCGGAUUGUAAACUCCUUUUGUUAGAGAAGAUAAUGACGGUAUCUAACGAAUAAGCACCGGCUAACUCCGUGCCAGCAGCCGCGGUAAUACGGAGGGUGCAAGCGUUACUCGGAAUCACUGGGCGUAAAGAGCGCGCAGGCGGAGGUGCAAGUCAGCGGUCAAAUUCCGGGGCUCAACCCCGUACUGCCGUUGAAACUGCAGAACUUGAGUGCGCGAGAAGUAUGCGGAAUGCGGGGUGUAGCGGUGAAAUGCAUAGAUAUCACGCAGAACUCCGACGGCGAAGGCAGCAUACCGGCGCGCAACUGACGCUGAGGCACGAAAGCGUGGGUAGCGAACAGGAUUAGAUACCCCGGUAGUC